AGUGAACGCUGGCGGUAGGCCUAACACAUGCAAGUCGAACGGCAGCACAGUAAGAGCUUGCUCUUACGGGUUGCGAGUGGCGGACGUGUGCGGACUACAUCGGAAUCUACUUUUUCGUGGGGGAUAACGUAUGGAAACUUACGCUAAUACCGCAUACGACCUACGAGUGCAAGCAGCGGAUCUUCGGACCUUGCGCGAUUGAAUGAGCCGAUGUCGGAUUAGCUAGUUGGCGGGGUAAAGGCGCACCAAGGCGACGAUCCGUAGCUGGUCUGAGAGGAUGAUCAGCCAGACUGGAACUGAGACACGGCCCAGAGUCAUAGGGGAGGCAGCAGUGGGGAAUAUGGGAGAAGGGGCGCAAGACUGAGCCAGCCAUACCGCGUGUGUGAAGAAGGCCUUCGGUUUGUAAAGUCCUGUUGUUGGGAAAGAAAAGCAGCAGGUUAAUACCACGAUGUUCUGACGGUACCCAAAGAAUAAGCAACGGCUAACUUCGUG
rnacentral:rRNA from 1 species